rnacentral:snRNA from 1 species
AUACCUUUCUCGGCCUUUUGGCUAAGAUCAAGUGUAGUAUCUGUUCUUAUCAGUUUAAUAUCUGAUAUGUGGGUCAAUGGCCCACACGAUAUUAAAUUUAUUUUUUGAGGGGGAAGGCCCAUCAAGGCAGCUUGCUUCCCGGGCUUUCAUGGGUCGCCCAUGUGUUGCACUAUUGCAAGGGCCUGGCGCACCCCAC